AUUUAGCACUACAGAGCUUUCAAGGUCCACAGGCAUUGCUAAGUAGGAUCACAAGCAAGGCUUGAUACUCUCAAAGGUUGUGGGAUGAUUAUGCAGAACUUGUGGGCUGUGUUUAUUGCUAUUAUCCCCAUGACUCUCCUAAAGUCUACAGCCCACUAACUGCAUUAAGGGUACGUCUACACUUAAUGGGCAGUGAUUGAUCUAUCGGGUAUCGAUUUAUCAUGCCUAGUGUAGACAUGAUAAAAAUCGAUCCCCGAGCACUCUCCCAUUGACUCGGGUACUCCACCACCGCGAGAGGCGCAAGCGGAGUCGGCGGGGGAGUGGCAGCAGUCGACUCAGUGCCGUGAAGACGCUGCGAUGUCCAUUUGAAAGGGUGAAACAUCAAAGCUUUUAAGCAGCCCAAGAGGAUAUAAGUACUGGAAUUGAGGAUUAUUGUACCUUAGGCAAAUAAAACAUGGAUAAUUUAACAUGACUGAUGAAGACAAAGUGAAUGAAGAUGCACUAUGACGGUACAAACUAGAGAGCGUUCAGGGAUGAUCAAUCAGAUUACUGAACUGUUUUAACAAUCCUAAUCCUGCAAUUCAUUUCAUAAAGACUAAUGGUUCUUUGAUGUGUUCCAUUUUAACAGUUGGAGUCUGGCAUCUUAAGGCUAUCCUGAGGGCAAACAUUUACUGGAAUAAAAGUUUAUUUCAUAUCUCA